rnacentral:rRNA from 1 species
CUUCGAGGGAAUGGCCUUAGUACGGCGAGUGAAGCGGCAAAAGCUCAAAUUUGAAAUCUGGCACCUUCGGUGUCCGAGUUGUAAUUUGAAGAAGGUAACUUUGGAGUUGGCUCUUGUCUAUGUUCCUUGGAACAGGACGUCACAGAGGGUGAGAAUCCCGUGCGAUGAGAUGCCCAAUUCUAUGUAAAGUGCUUUCGAAGAGUCGAGUUGUUUGGGAAUGCAGCUCUAAGUGGGUGGUAAAUUCCAUCUAAAGCUAAAUAUUGGCGAGAGACCGAUAGCGAACAAGUACAGUGAUGGAAAGAUGAAAAGAACUUUGAAAAGAGAGUGAAAAAGUACGUGAAAUUGUUGAAAGGGAAGGGCUUGAGAUCAGACUUGGUAUUUUGCGAUCCUUUCCUUCUUGGUUGGGUUCCUCGCAGCUUACUGGGCCAGCAUCGGUUUGGAUGGUAGGAUAAUGACUAAGGAAUGUGGCUCUACUUCGGUGGAGUGUUAUAGCCUUGGUUGAUACUGCCUGUCUAGACCGAGGACUGCGUCUUUUGACUAGGAUGUUGGCAUAAUGAUCUUAAGCCACCCGUCUUGAAGAAGGGGAACAAAAAAAAAAUAAAUAAAAAAAAACAAACCACAACCAAAACAACAACUUCAUCUAAUAAAUUUCCCAAAGAUCAAAUUGAUACAGGAGUUGCAU